UAGUCCACGCCGUAAACGAUCAUCACUCGCUGUUGGCGAUAUACUGUCAGCGGCCAAGCGAAAGUAUUAAGUGAUGCACCUGGGGAGUACGCCGGCAACGGUGAAACUCAAAGGAAUUGACGGGGGCCCGCACAAGCGGUGGAGCAUGUGGUUUAAUUCGAUGAUACGCGAGGAACCUUACCAGGGCUUAAAUGUAGUAUGACCGGCUUGGAAACAGGCCUUCUCUUCGGAGCAGAUUACAAGGUGCUGCAUGGUUGUCGUCAGCUCGUGCCGUGAGGUGUUAGGUUAAGUCCUGCAACGAGCGCAACCCCUAUUCUUAGUUGCCAGCGGUUCGCCGGGGACUCUAAGAGACUGCCAGCGCAAGCUGAGAGGAAGGUGGGGGAUGACGUCAAGUCAUCAUGGCCCUUAUGGGCUUGGGGCUACACACGUGCUACAAUGGUCGGUACAAAGGGG
rnacentral:rRNA from 1 species